CAAGUCGAGCGAGGCCAGGGGGGCAACUCCCUGAGUCGAGCGGCGGACGGGUGAGUAACACGUGGGUAACCUACCCGGAAGUGGGGAAUACCUCGGGGAAACUCGAGCUAAUACCGCAUGACAUCUUUGGGACGAAAGUCCUGACGAUCAAAGCGGGGUCGCAAGAUCUCGCGCUACCGGAUGGGCCCGCGCCCGAUUAGCUAGUUGGCGAGGUAAUGGCUCACCAAGGCGACGAUCGGUAACCGGCCUGAGAGGGCGAUCGGUCACACCGGAACUGAGACACGGUCCGGACUCCUACGGGAGGCAGCAGUGGGGAAUCUUGCGCAAUGGGCGAAAGCCUGACGCAGCAACGCCGCGUGGAGGAUGAAGGCCCUUGGGUUGUAAACUCCUGUCGGCUGGGAAGAACUCGUUCGCGACUAAUACACGCGGACGUUGACUGUACCAGCAAAGGAAGCCCCGGCUAACUCUGUGCCAGCAGCCGCGGUAAUACAGAGGGGGCUAGCGUUAUUCGGAAUUAUUGGGCGUAAAGGGCGCGUAGGCGGCUUUGCGUGUCUUCCGUGAAAUCCCUCGGCUCAACCGAGGACGUGCGGAAGAAACUGCAAGGCUCGAGUCCGGAAGAGGGGGGCGGAAUUCCCAGUGUAGCGGUGAAAUGCGUAGAUAUUGGGAGGAACACCAGUGGCGAAGGCGGUCCCCUGGGCCGGAACUGACGCUGAGGCGCGAAAGCGUGGGUAGCAAACGGGAUUAGAUACCCCGGUAGUCCACGCCGUAAACGAUGGGCACUUGGUGUCGCGGGUAUCGACCCCUGCGGUGCCGAAGCUAACGCAUUAAGUGCCCCGCCCGGGGGAGUACGGUCGCAAGGCUGAAACUCAAAGGAAUUGACGGGGGGCCCGCACAAGCGGUGGAGCAUGUUG
rnacentral:rRNA from 1 species